rnacentral:lncRNA from 1 species
UAUAUUUAAGUUAAACUAAGAACCAAAUAAUAAAAAUUUAUAUUAUUAUAUAUAUAAUUAAUUAUUUAUAUAUAUUUAUAUCUAUACUACUUAUAAAAGCGUGAGUUUUGAAAUUUUUUCCUUUCCAAAAAUAUCUCUAUCUUUUUUUUCUAAUAUUGUCAUGUCCAGUAAAUUUCAACGACUCAUUUUAAAGAAAUCUUUAAAUAAUAAUUUAUUCUUAAAUAUAGAUCUUAAGUUUUCGCCAUUAAAUCUCAUCCAACGAAUAAAAAUAAAAGUAUCUGUCAUUUUUGUUGAUAAAAAUACCCUCUAUAUCCGUUAUCUCUUAUCUACGCCGCGUUUCUCACAUAUUUUUUUUCUACCCACCAUACGUAAAACUAAAUUUAUCUCUUAUCUAACGUAAUACCUGCCAAUCAUGCAAUACCUUCGCUAAUCACGUAAUACGUAAAAUUAAAUUUAUUUACUGCUAACAUGUAGUAUUCAAAAUUAAAAUUUAAAUUUGUAAUGCCCGCAUAAAUUUAAUACCCGCGAAUUUGAUAAUUUGAAUUUUAAUUUAUGAUAGUAGGUUUUUCCUUAAAUAAAAUAGUAAAUAUUUUUAACAAAAUAUUCAAUAUUUAAAUAAUGCGUCGUAAAAGCAUAGAAUAUUUUUUUANUUUUUUUUUAAUGAUACCAUGAUAGAUUUUGUGUUCUUUCUUUUAUGAUAUUGUAAUUCUAUUUUUUAUUUCUAUCAUUUUAUUUUAGUAAUAAUUAAAUAUUAUUUAUCGAAUUUAUAAUAUUUAUUUAUAAAUUUUUUUUUUUAGUAUUUGUGUGACGUGCGUUGCACGUGCACUUAACUAGUAAAUAUAAAAAUAUAUGUAUUCGAGUUAUUAUCUAGCCGAACAUGAGCGGGCUGAUCCUAGCUCGUAUUUUGCUCGUUGAAUAAAUGAGCUAAAAAAUUUAGUUUGUAUUCAGCUCGUUAAUUAAACUAAUGAUUCGAUCUCGAGUUCAUUUCUGACCGAACGCAAGCUCAAACUGACUCGCGAACAGUAAGCUCCUAAACGCACAUACAAAU